rnacentral:rRNA from 1 species
GUGUAGCUUAACUAUACGACUUCCGGGUAGACUGCUAAACUUGAGACCGGGUGAGGCUAGAGGUACUCCUGGGGUAGAGGUGAAAUUCUGUAAUCCUAGGGGGACCCCCAGUGGCGAAGGCGUCUAGCUAGAACGGGUCUGACGGUGAGGGACGAAGCCCUGGGGCACAAACCGGAUUAGAUACCCGGGUAGUCCAGGGUGUAAACGCCGCUUGCUUGAUGUUAGUUGGGCUCCGAGCCCAACUAGUGUCGGAGAGAAGUUGUUAAGCAAGCUGCCUGGGAAGUACGGUCGCAAGGCUGAAACUUAAAGGAAUUGGCGGGGGAGCACAGCAACGGGUGGAGCGUGCGGUUUAAUUGGAUUCAACGCCGGAAAACUCACCGGAGGCGACGGUUACAUGAAGGCCAGGCUGAUGACCUUGCCUGAUUUUCCGAGAGGUGGUGCAUGGCCGCCGUCAGUUCGUACCGUAAGGCGUUCUGUUAAGUCAGACAACGAACGAGACCCUCAUCUUUAAUUGCUACUAGUAAGUUCGCUUACUGGGCACAUUAAAGAAACCGCUGGCGAUAAGUCAGAGGAAGGCGAGGGCAACGGUAGGUCAGUAUGCCCUGAAUCCUCCGGGCUACACGCGCGCUACAAAGGCUAGGACAAUGAGCUUCAACACCGAGAGGUGAAGGUAAUCUCGAAACCUAGUCGUAGUUCGGAUUGAGGGUUGAAACUCACCCUCAUGAAGCUGGAAUCCGUAGUAAUCGCGGAUCAACAUCCCGCGGUGAAUAUGCCCCUGCUCC